GAAAUGCGAUAAGUAAUGUGAAUUGCAGAAUUCAGUGAAUCAUCGAAUCUUUGAACGCACAUUGCGCCCUCUGGUAUUCCGGGGGGCAUGCCUGUUCGAGCGUCAUUACAACCCUCAAGCUCUGCUUGGUGUUGGGCCACUGCCUGGAAGGGCGGGCCUUAAAAUCAGUGGCGGUGCCAUCUGGCUUCAAGCGUAGUAAUAUCUUUCGCUCAGGAGCUCCAGGUGCGUGCUGGCCAGCAACUCCUUAUAUUUUUCUAAGGUUGACCUCGGAUCAGGUAGGGAUACCCGCUGAACUUAA
rnacentral:misc_RNA from 1 species